rnacentral:lncRNA from 1 species
GACACUGGUUCUUGCAGCGUGCAAUUCCUCAUUUUGAGGCAGGCAGAAACUGCUCAGUGGGCUUGGUUUCUGUGAACUUGACCUCCAUAUGAAAGAUGAGGGAGCUGCACUCUAUUAUAUCUUACAAAUAUCCUUAGCUCUCUGGAAAAUGUUCAAUAUCACAAUUAAUUGAGCGAAUCUUGUAUGCCUCUGCCUUGUGUUCUUAAAUUGAAAAUAGUGGCUGGUCUUAUUUCAGUUGAUAGUUGAUCUCUUACUGGAACUGAUUUACUGUUCCUGUUCUGUAGCUUCCAUAGCCCCCCAGAAUGGAGAAUGCUAAUUAUAUAGAGAACACCUGUACUUCUUGUCACUCUACGAUGUACAAUAUGUGUUGGGUAGGAAAGGGAACUUGUUAACUCCUCUCUCUGAUGAUGCCAGCUGAGAUUCAAGGGGUUCACUUGCACCAUUUUUUUCAAGGUAAGUGAAUUCAGCUACAUGUCCCUUCAACUUUAUCAAAACAAGACUUAAAAUGCCUAAAUUAUAGCCACAUGAUCAUAUUUUCGGGACAUGUUGUACUUUUUAAGGCUACAAACUCUACUGAGUGAACAGCAGGUACAAAGAAGUUAUCUUGCUCCAAUUAGGGAACCGUUCUGAAAGCAAUCCAUCCUCUGUAUGUAGGUGGUUAUAUCUGUAAGGGAAUGGGGGGACUUGCAAAGAAGUAGCUCUUUGUUCCUCUUUCUAUGAUGGGUUAGGCAAGUUGUUCAUUUUAGAAGCCACUCCAACCAGGCCUAUCUGUUUCAGGAUAUCAGUAGGAUUCAUUUCAUUGCUCCACCAACCAACCUUAAAGCAACUGAGAACACUUCCUGAAGAUACAGGUUGUGCCAUGGUGAUCAGAAACUGUGGAGCCUUUUUCUGGAGUUGACCCGUGUCCAGUCCACUCCCUUUCCAAGCUCUCCUUCUCCAAGGAUAUUUGCAAGAAACCUAUAAACUAAGGAUAAUUAUUUGGCCAAGAUGUAGACAUGGGUAGAAAUGAUAUGUAUUUAAUGAAUAAAGGAAAGAAAAAAU